AUUGAACGCUGGCGGCAUGCCUUACACAUGCAAGUCGAACGGCAGCGCGGGGGCAACCCUGGCGGCGAGUGGCGAACGGGUGAGUAAUAUAUCGGAACGUACCCAAGAGUGGGGGAUAACGUAGCGAAAGUUACGCUAAUACCGCAUACGAUCUAAGGAUGAAAGCAGGGGACCGCAAGGCCUUGUGCUCCUGGAGCGGCCGAUAUCUGAUUAGCUAGUUGGUGGGGUAAAGGCCUACCAAGGCAUCGAUCAGUAGCUGGUCUGAGAGGACGACCAGCCACACUGGGACUGAGACACGGCCCAGACUCCUACGGGAGGCAGCAGUGGGAAUUUUGGACAAUGGGGGCAACCCUGAUCCAGCAAUGCCGCGUGAGUGAAGAAGGCCUC
rnacentral:rRNA from 1 species